ACCAUACUUAACUCAGUGGUGAAAUUACUGCUUUCAUACGGCGAAGUCAUUGGUUCAAAUCCAAUAGUAGGUA